rnacentral:rRNA from 1 species
CAACUUUCAGCAACGGAUCUCUUGGCUCUCGCAUCGAUGAAGAACGCAGCGAAAUGCGAUAAGUAAUGUGAAUUGCAGAUUUUCAGUGAAUCAUCGAAUCUUUGAACGCACCUUGCGCUCCUUGGUAUUCCGAGGAGCAUGCCUGUUUGAGUGUCAUUA